rnacentral:rRNA from 1 species
GAUGAACGCUGGCGGCGUGCCUAAUACAUGCAAGUCGAGCGAACAGAUGAGGAGCUUGCUCCUCUGACGUUAGCGGCGGACGGGUGAGUAACACGUGGAUAACCUACCUAUAAGACUGGGAUAACUUCGGGAAACCGGAGCUAAUACCGGAUAAUAUAUUGAACCGCAUGGUUCAAUAGUGAAAGACGGUUUUGCUGUCACUUAUAGAUGGAUCCGCGCCGCAUUAGCUAGUUGGUAAGGUAACGGCUUACCAAGGCAACGAUGCGUAGCCGACCUGAGAGGGUGAUCGGCCACACUGGAACUGAGACACGGUCCAGACUCCUACGGGAGGCAGCAGUAGGGAAUCUUCCGCAAUGGGCGAAAGCUUGACGGAGCAACGCCGCGUGAGUGAUGAAGGUCUUCGGAUCGUAAAACUCUGUUAUUAGGGAAGAACAAAUGUGUAAGUAACUAUGCACGUCUUGACGGUACCUAAUCAGAAAGCCAAGGCUAACUACGUG